GCUUAAAGCACAAAGCACGCCUGUAACUAGUUCAGUGGUGGUUCAGACCAGGAUGGUCUUCAAUUCCUCCUCCCCUGUUCCCAGUGAGAGUUUGGUUCUCAGUGUAACCCAGACUCUUCUGAGUGCUCGACUCCCAAACCUCACUGACUCUGUAAAAGAGCUGAACUUCACCUAUGAGAAAAUUUCAGACACCUCCUAUGCGGUAAAUUUUCAAUUCAACAUCAGUAACGUCAGCAUGGCACAGAACCCUGACCAAAGGAAUGAUACCUACAAGCAAGUGGAGAACAUCACCAACAAUGCU